rnacentral:lncRNA from 1 species
GAUCGGCGGGGUCCCCGAUCAGACGGUCAUCAACACCAACUUGGAGAAGCUGUGCAAGGUGCUCGACAUCUACGAGGCCAGGCUAUCCAAGACCAAGUACUUGGCUGGAGACUUCUUUAGCCUUGCAGACCUCAGUCACGUACCUUUGCUGUACUACUUCAUGGGCAGCCCUCAUGCAUCCGUCGUCAAUUCACGGCCGCAUGUUAAGGCAUGGUGGGAGGCUGUUUCGUCGAGGCCGGCGUGCAAGAAGGUGACCUCUGCGAUGCCUGGAUCUGCGUGAGAGGUAUCGGUUGGUGGCCAUGGAGAAGAGAGGAAAUGAAUAAAAGAGUCUGCUUCAGUUGUUGGUCUUACAAUCUGUGUUUGUGUUUGGGUGCCUGGAUGUGAGGCGUUUGUGCUGUGAGUCCCUGUCUAUUGAGACACUUGGUUGUGUUUAGGGUGGGAUGGUGGGUAAUAAAAUAUGCGAUGCAUCCAUCUUUUCUUGUGCCUACUUUGGUGUUUUAUAUGCAUUUUGGUCAUCCAGUUGACGAACAUGUGCAGAUGUCUUUUUUCUUUUCUUUUUUUAUUUUAUUAUUAUGUAAGAAAGAUGGUGGGAACGUGGUCUUUGGUUUCUUGAGUCCGAAACCUUCUGGAAAGCGAUGGCAACCAAAGACUUGACUUUCGAGUCCCUGUGAGACGACACGUUUGAGUGAUGGGACUGGGAGGGGAGACGUUAUGGUUACCGGAAGGGACUGGAAACUGGGGAUUUUAUGAGAAUAAAUUUUCUAUAUUUUAUGGGGAGG